UCGAACUCAUGAGCCGUGAGAUCAUGACCUGAGCUGAAGUCAGACACUUAACCCACUGAGCCACCAGGCGCCCCUCCGAUCCUCAGUUUAAAACAUCUCCAGAAACGCGGAAGGAUUCAUUCUCCCACGGGGUUGAUGUUCUCUCUGUGAAUAUCGUGCUCCUGGCUGAGUGCGGUGCUGUUCGUCACUUUCUUGUCGCUGGGCUCCAGAACCAUCCUUCGUCUGUGCUGGGGGAUGAUGGGUGGAAUCCCUCCGAUCACUUCUUUGAAGUGAGCGGCAGAGUUUUCAGUAGAGGGCCCUGGAGAGACACUGGUGGAGGAAGACCCUCUGCAGGUUCGAGCUACUGUGUGGCCUGGUGGGUCUGCAGAACGGGCGCAAAGGCACCCCGCGUGCCACUGCCCCAGCCGCCUGCCCAGAGCUCACGGGCACUGGGGGACCUCGCAGCCUCAGCCUGGGGAUGACCUUCCCAGACCCUCUUGAUGUGGACACUCCCAGGUGCCACUGGCACUCCCUGCGCCUCCUGGCGUCCCCAUACCCACCGCAGACACUUGUAUGUGCUUAGUCCCCCUGCCGCCUGGAGGUCCCCACUGAGCCGCACUGUCGCCAAGCCCCGGGCCGAGGUCUGGAGAGCUGCUUCCAACUUGUCCAGUGACUGCAGGCCAGCUCUGGCCCGAAGAAGCCAGCGAACUUCUCUGCCACCCACGGAGCUGAACUGCACCUUCUCCGAUGAGGUCUGCACUGCAGCCUCUGCGGAGGAGGCUCACCUCUCCGGGUGUAUUCUUCUUCUUCGGAUAUUCUCCCCGGCCCUGGGGUCCUGUGUAGAGUUUCCUUUUAUCUUAUAGUUAUUUUCUUAUAGUUUAUUAAUUCGACUGGACUCCCGUUUGGCUCACUGAUUGGUUUCUAUUUCCUCAUUGGACUCAGGUGGACGCACGUGGGUGUAUCUGCGACCGGAGAGAGGAAUCGGCCAGCUCUCCGAGGCUGUCACUCGAAUUCACUCUUGCUCUUGGGUCUACGGCACAGCGACGAGCCACUUGGCGUUAACUUUUCGUCCUGGGGCUUCGAUCUGAUGUUCUGUGCCAGGACAUCCUCUGUGCCAGGCUUCGAGGCGUGCUGUUAAGAAACCAGGACAGGUGUAAACGGGGACCAACUUUUUGGCCAUUUACUGCCUCCUGUGUGUGCUGUGCCCAGUUGUAGCCCUGACUCCCCUCCUCGGUGCCUCCUCUUGGCGUGGCCUCUGUUCCAAGGCCACCGCACCCUCCCACACCAGCACGCGCUCCCCAGGCUCUCCCGUCACUUCGGUCCCGUGGCUGCUGAGCUCACUAUCGUGGCUCAGCUUGGCUCCUGCUGUGCGAUACAGCCCGGGAGAGGCUGUACCCUCUUCAACUUCUUUUUCUGAACUCGCGCUGGGUUUUUGCACGGUUUGCAUUCUCUUGCUGAUUUUAUUGAACCAUCCCUAUAGGGAUUCUUCCACAUUUUUACCCCCCCCCCCCCCCCAGCUUUUCACCCUGCAUAUUACCACCUUUCCUAUCUUCUGGAGAAAGUCAGGAUUAUCCGGGAACGGUUCCUACAGCUUUCCUCCUUCCUGGCUCGCAGGGUGAGUGAUUUUCCACUCAACCCCGUCUGCAGAGAAAUGUCUGUCUUUGCUAAGCCGGACCCUCGCAUCGGGGCUUUCCUGGCGCAGCCUCCGGGCUCCCGCCCAGUGUCCCGCCACCCACAGGCUCCCCACCUUUAGCACCCCAGUGUUCACACACAGCCUGUGAAGGUUAAAAACAGCAACAAAAAACCUGGCCUGUGGGCAAAAAAUUCUCGCGUUGAAAAAUCCUGCAGUUAUGUGUCUGGAUGCUGUUUGACACUUUAACAUAUGUCUCUAUUCCUUUCCUUGAAAUCUUCUCUUCCGUUCUCCUUAUCCGUGUCAGAUACCCACUCGUUUUCCCUGAACGCAGAGGGAGAAUGUGGCAGAGUAGAAAACAGAAAUGCCUUCCGGGUCAUGCUAGGUUAUGUUUCCAAAUGUUUAGUGAUUGCAGACAGGAUAGGAUGUCAGUGCUUGAACAGAACAUCCUGACAAAACAGGAAGAUCUUCCCAAACUAGAACGGGAUGUUCUCCCUGGUGGGGAGGCGUGGGAGGGGGGGCUCUAACUGCAGAAAGCACCUGUCCCAGGGAGGCGGCAGGGUCCCCGAGACAAGGACUAGGUGGCAGUACGGGGCAGCAGAGUGGGGGAAACUGACAAACGUCUCACGCUCCUGAUUGUGGUGCAGAAAUGGCAGAGAGGACACUGGAUCCGAGAGGCUGAACAGGAAGUGAGGUGACUAUCUGAGCAGUGAUCUGUGCGGUUCUGUGAAUGAGUACCAGGGGCUGUUGUGUUAGAGUCAGGACUCCAGGGAUGGGGUGGGCGGGAAGACACCAGGGACAACUAAGGUUACGUCUCCCCCACCACAGACUGGGACGAUGCUCGGACUGAGAAGUGACAGGUUAACCAGUAGAAACCAAAGAAAGUGGUAUUUCCUGCACACUGAGCUUACAGUUGAAGAUUUGCACCUGCUACCUGUGGGUGGCCAAGAAUUGUCUGCAUCCUGGAUAAAUUAUAACGCUUGGCACUGGAGCCAAGGCAUUUUGAGACACUCUCUGUGAUGGUAUUGGAACAUUCGUCUGAAGUCUGGAGAUGGACACAGGAUUUAAUACUGAGUCCUGAAAGGCCCCCGGGUUACGAUGAGCUCCCUGUGAAAUUCGGCCGCGGAGGGAUGUGUAGCCUGUAAGUGGCCACACGGCGGUUGGCUGAUAGAAGAAACCAAGGGUAAGAGCCUUGUGAGAACUUCCUGAGAAGAUCGUUUCUGUUCGUUCCAGAAAAAUAGCUCGAAAUGGGAGAAAGUGGAAAAUCACACGCAUGGCCUGUAUCUUGGAUUUUAAAUUUCAACAACACUAACCACAGCUACCAUAGCAACGAGAGCCCAACAUCUUCCUGGGGCUCGGAAAUGUAAAUCUGACUCCCAGGGAACACUUUUUGAAAGGCGUGAAGUCACACGUUCUGUGCUGCACUUUAGACUUUUAAUGUCCUGGCUCGGGCGAAGGAGAGACAGGAAGCGUAGCUGGUGUCUCGAAGGGUUCUCGCCGUGUGAUCAAAGGGCGCCGACACGGAGAAUGUGCUUGUGCUCCGAGGUCUGGGCCAGGCCAGGGGAGCGAGCACACAGAACCAAGAGGGUUGAGAUGUCCUGAUGGCUUUGCAGCCUUCGGAAAACCAAGCCAAAGUCCCCUUCUGUCGGGCCUCAGAGCCAGGUGCCAUGGCAGAGUGACCCAUGUGUCCCUUGCAGAUGUGACAAGAAGAGCUAAGCUUCGCUCUUUCCACAGAUGAUAUGACCACAUACCUGGAAAGCUCAAGCGUCCAUAUUUGACAAAGCAAAGAAGGACUUGAACCGGAAGGGGAGUUUCGUCGUGCAGACAAGUUGGAUCAAGGAGUAAAACAGGAAGACGAGGAAUAGCAUGUGAUCUCAUGUCACUGCAGAAGAAUGAUCAGUGAGGGCUCGUCUCUCCAUCUAGAAAAGAAGAUAAUAUUGGAGCCCCACCUGACGGCAUCAGUAAGUUCCAGACGUAUUAAAGACUGAAGUUUGAAGGUUGUUUUUGUUUUUUUGUUUUACCAAAAUAGGAACUGGGAAACUAUAAAAUAAAAUAUACACAUGUUAA